rnacentral:rRNA from 1 species
UACGUAGGGGGCAAGCGUUAUCCGGAUUUACUGGGUGUAAAGGGGGCGCAGACGGCGAUGCAAGCCAGGAGUGAAAGCCCGGGGCUCAACCCCGGGACUGCAUUUGGAACUGUGCUGCUAGAGUGUCGGAGAGGCAGGCGGAAUUCCUAGUGUAGCGGUGAAAUGCGUAGAUAUUAGGAGGAACACCAGUGGCGAAGGCGGCCUGCUGGACGAUGACUGACGUUGAGGCUCGAAAGCGUGGGGAGCAAACAGG